GUGGGUAGUUUGACUGGGGCGGUCUCCUCCUAAAGAGUAACGGAGGAGCACGAAGGUUGGCUAAUCCUGGUCGGACAUCAGGAGGUUAGUGCAAUGGCAUAAGCCAGCUUGACUGCGAGCGUGACGGCGCGAGCAGGUGCGAAAGCAGGUCAUAGUGAUCCGGUGGUUCUGAAUGGAAGGGCCAUCGCUCAACGGAUAAAAGGUACUCCGGGGAUAACAGGCUGAUACCGCCCAAGAGUUCAUAUCGACGGCGGUGUUUGGCACCUCGAUGUCGGCUCAUCACAUCCUGGGGCUGAAGUAGGUCCCAAGGGUAUGGCUGUUCGCCAUUUAAAGUGGUACGCGAGCUGGGUUUAGAACGUCGUGAGACAGUUCGGUCCCUAUCUGCCGUGGGCGCUGGAGAACUGAGGGGGGCUGCUCCUAGUACGAGAGGACCGGAGUGGACGCAUCACUGGUGUUCGGGUUGUCAUGCCAAUGGCACUGCCCGGUAGCUAAAUGCGGAAGAGAUAAGUGCUGAAAGCAUCUAAGCACGAAACUUGCCCCGAGAUGAGUUCUCCCUGACUCUUUAAGGGUCCUGAAGGAACGUUGAAGACGACGACGUUAAUAGGCCGGGUGUGUAAGCGCAGCGAUGCGUUGAGCUAACCGGUACUAAUGAACCGUGAGGCUUAACCUU
rnacentral:rRNA from 1 species